rnacentral:rRNA from 1 species
UGGGGAAUAUUGGACAAUGGGGGCAACCCUGAUCCAGCAAUGCCGCGUGUGUGAAGAAGGCCUUCGGGUUGUAAAGCACUUUAGGCUGGGAAGAAGGUAUGUAGUUUAAGAGACAGCAUACUUGACGGUACCGGCAGAAUAAGCACCGGCUAACUCUGUGCCAGCAGCCGCGGUAAUACAGAGGGUGCGAGCGUUAAUCGGAAUUACUGGGCGUAAAGGGCGCGUAGGUGGUUAAGUAAGAUUGUUGUGAAAUCCCUGGGCUUAACCUAGGAACUGCAACGAUGACUGCAUAGCUUGAGUAUUGUAGAGGGUAGUGGAAUUUCCGGUGUAGCGGUGAAAUGCGUAGAGAUCGGAAGGAACACCAGUGGCGAAGGCGGCUACCUGGACAAAUACUGACACUGAGGCGCGAGAGCGUGGGGAGCAAACAGGAUUAGAUACCCCUGUAGUCC